CGUCCGAAAAAUUGUUUAAAACGAAAAAAAAAUAACUAAACAAAUCGUACGGGAAAAAAAACCGAAGUACAAUUGUUGAUAUUUCGCAUGUAAACUUCGAGAAACUCUCGAGACGAAUAUCAUACAACUAAACAUUUCUCGGAAGGAAAAAAAUGUAAGGCUUUUCAAAUCCACGGUGUUGAAAAUAGGCGUUUUUCAUACACAUAUAUACGGUUCAUUGCGAGGGUGAAAACGUUUGAUAUGAUUUAAUUUUAUUUGUUUACCGUUAAACUGCUUUGCGGCCGCACAGAUGUGUUUAAAAAGGACCGGAUGUUCUUGUCGUAUCAUUAUCGUAUUGAAACGUUAUAUCUUGAAUGAGACUUUUCAAUGGUUUUUCAAAAAAAAAAAAAA